AGGACGAACGCUGGCGGCGUGCUUAACACAUGCAAGUCGAGCGGAAAGGCCCUUCGGGGUACUCGAGCGGCGAACGGGUGAGUAACACGUGAGCAACCUGCCCUUAGCUCCGGGAUAGCUCCGGGAAACCGGAAUUAAUACCGGAUACGACCACGGCCGACAUCUGCUGUGGUGGAAAGGAUUCCGGCUAAGGAUGGGCUCGCGGCCUAUCAGCUAGUUGGUGGAGUAACGGCCCACCAAGGCGACGACGGGUAGCCGGCCUGAGAGGGCGACUGGCCACACUGGGACUGAGACACGGCCCAGACUCCUACGGGAGGCAGCAGUGGGGAAUAUUGCGCAAUGGGCGAAAGCCUGACGCAGCGACGCCGCGUGGGGGAUGAAGGCCUUCGGGUUGUAAACCCUUUCAGCAGGGACGAAGCGAAAGUGACGGUACCUGCAGAAGAAGCGCCGGCUAACUACGCGCCAGCAGCCGC
rnacentral:rRNA from 1 species